CCUUGCUCAUCGGCUCGCCGCUCAUGGCUUUUCCCCGGCGGUGACCUAAUUCCCGGUAGCUAGCAUUGCUUGAUCUUCGCCCUAGUCUCGCAGCCUUGAAGGUGUUACUCAUAUGCUCUGUAUUCAAGUCUAUUUCAAUGAUUUUGGACGACAGUUUAAAUAAAAAAAUUAGAAUAAAUUCGCAAUGUACUUCCAUCGAUCUGUGUAGAUUCAUAUUCAAGUCAAGCGCCAUUUGAUGAAAAGUUGUUGCACCCCACAAUGGUCUAAGGAUAUCUUUGUUGCUAAGGAUACACACACAUUGGGACACAAAAACACACACCGAUACACAAGACAAAGGUGCGUAUGAUGAAGGAACUUAAUUAUUAAACUUGAAGGGAAAAUUAAAUUAUUAAAUGUUAAAUUUCAGAAGAAAAUAUGUAGCAAGAUCAGAUACAGAUAACAAAAUGUGUUUACCUAUCUAAGAAGCAUGUCUCACUGCAGAGCCUACUCCUUGAUGGGUUGACCGGAUGACAUCGUGUAAAUUUACUUGAACUCCAUUGACUUGACUAAUCCAAUAAGCAAAAUAACCAUGGGGAAGGAUGUUUAUAAAAAUUCAUUCCAAUUUAACAAUCAUUAAGAGAUAUUCUUCAGAAUCCAAAAAGGCAAAUUGAUAUAUACUUUUAGGGAAAACAAUCAAAUGUAGAAGAAAUCUAUUACCUUUUUUUGAAAGGAGAUUAACAGGGUGGCUAUCGACGUCGAUGAUUAGUUAGCGAUUGGUGGUGUGAGAAAUGAAGAAUGGGUGGUGAUGCAUUGUUGGUUCGAGGGAAAGCUUCAAUGAAGCAAAACGUCAAACACCUUGCACUCGAACCUAAUCCAGGUUCUUGGAAUCGGGUAUCCAGCCCUCUUUUAUUCGAUAAUCUGAUUGGAACUGGUUUUAUUGGUGGUUGUGUUAAUGAGUGUUGCGGUGGUUAUCGUAAAUAAGUGGUGGCGGGGAUGGAGAACAAUUUAGGGUAGAGAGAGAGUGAGACUGACGGAUCACGAUGGGUUGGCAUUACCGGAAAAAGUUCUGUAAGAGCGCAAAGUUCAUGGAGACGACGAUCAGAAAUGGCGGUGUUGCAAGGUUGGAGAGCGGGUGGUGGUUCACUACCAUUGUGAUGAGGACGAUGACUCGGGCGGAUGAGUUGCGCUUCUGAUUAGGUUUUUGAUAUUUGUUUGAGGGCUUUAUCGAUUGUAGAGGUACAUAAGAGGAAAGUAGAAAUUAUUAUCUAAUUUCUUGAUUUAGUUUCUAAAGUUAAUCUGUUGUCAACGUACGUGUAAAAUGAUGUAUUGAUCGGUAACCAUAAAUAAAUUGAUUGUACAUGAGGUAAUA